AGAUUGAACGCUGGCGGCAUGCCUUACACAUGCAAGUCGAACGGCAGCACGGGAGCAAUCCUGGUGGCGAGUGGCGAACGGGUGAGUAAUACAUCGGAACGUGCCCAAUCGUGGGGGAUAACGCAGCGAAAGCUGUGCUAAUACCGCAUAAGAUCUACGGAUGAAAGCAGGGGAUCGCAAGACCUUGCGCGAAUGGAGCGGCCGAUGGCAGAUUAGGUAGUUGGUGAGGUAAAGGCUCACCAAGCCUUCGAUCUGUAGCUGGUCUGAGAGGACGACCAGCCACACUGGGACUGAGACA
rnacentral:rRNA from 1 species